GGAAACGGAUAGAGCCAGCGUAUCUGGCCUGCAUCCAACCGUUGGUUCCGUGUCGUCAGGGACGCUGCCUCCAGAUUGGGGUAGUUCCUUGUCCGGCGCGGGACUGAUGGUGCAUUUGCAGGUGGUGUGCGCCGAGGCGCCCGGGACAGCUGCAUGAGCUCAGCCUUGAGGCCAGCCCGCAAGGGUCUGGUACCCGGACUGGGGGAGUGCUGUUUGUUCUGGGUGUGCUUGCCAUGGCAUGGCUUACGGGUUCGGGUGGGCGCCGAGCUGGCAACUGGUUACGGUCGCAUGCGACACGUGCCGGUGGCUAGUUCGGUCCUGUUCGGGCUCUCAUGCCCAAUCUCGGUGUAAAAGCUGGUCAUCUAUCCGACCCGUCUUGAAACACGGACCAAGGAGUUUAUCGUGUACGCGAGUCAUUGGGCGUUCAAAACCCAAAGGCGAAAUGAAAGUGAAGGUAUCCGCAAGGAGCUGACGUGCGAUCCUGUGUGCUUCGGCAUGCAGGCGCAGCAUGGCCCCAUCCCGAUUGCUUGCAAUGGGGUGGAGGUAGAGCGUAUGCGGUGAGACCCGAAAGAUGGUGAACUAUUCCUGAGCAGGAUGAAGCCAGAGGAAA
rnacentral:rRNA from 1 species